rnacentral:rRNA from 1 species
UACGUAGGUGGCAAGCGUUGUCCGGAUUUAUUGGGCGUAAAGCGCGCGCAGGCGGCUAUGUAAGUCUGGUGUUAAAGCCCGGGGCUCAACCCCGGUUCGCAUCGGAAACUGCAGAGCUUGAGUGCAGAAGAGGAAAGCGGUAUUCCACGUGUAGCGGUGAAAUGCGUAGAGAUGUGGAGGAACACCAGUGGCGAAGGCGGCUUUCUGGUCUGUAACUGACGCUGAGGCGCGAAAGCGUGGGGAGCAAACAGG